GCGAGAGCGCGGAGUCGAAAUAAUCCUUGGCUGAGGUCGGACGGUUGGUCGCGACGAGUCGUGCGACGUUAUUUUUUACCGAAUCGAUCGAAGCGAGACGACGGCUUGCCACGCACGAGCAACAACAUCCAACGCGAUGAAAUAAUUAAAUGGGACGAUACUCCAAAUAAAAAAAGUUACAUUCGAUUUGUAACUCGGUUCGGAGCAGAGGGUUCGUGUGACAGCUCGGAGUGAUCGUGGCGACUUACAGAGCGCGUGUGAUUGUGACAGUGCUUUUUGUUAGUAUGACAAAGAGAUUCUUUUAACCCAUUGCCUCACGGCUUUUGUGACUGCGCGUAUCACAGUUAUCCACUGAAUCGCUCACGCGCCAGUACGAAUGGAAAACUUUUGUUAGUUUUAGCUUGCCUUCGAUAGUCGACAUACAAACAUGCUCCUCGAUAAAAAAUAUAUUAGAUUACAACUCGUCCAUGUUGCUCAAAUUUAAUAUAAGUAUACUUUCGCAUACGUGACAUUUGGACAAUAGGCUACGUCACGUGCAAUUUGUAAAUCGCCGUAUUUGGAUUAAAAUUUCUGCUACGAGUUUGACUCCAUUUUGUAACGAGCUUAAGUAAAGUCUUUUAACAACGAGCAUUUUUAACAAAAUUCUCAUUGUCCUUCCAAAAUUAUAUACCACUCAAUUAUACUGUACUGUAUAUCUCCGUGCAAUUACGUAAAACGUAUUUUCUGUCCUCCUAAAUUGGGCAAUUGGGACUGGCUCUAGCAUCUAGAUUUAGGGAUUUAGCAAGUGCGAAGGAGCGUUUCGACCGUCUCCUCCUUAACGAACCGACGAUAAAUAAUGGCAUCGCGAUAAAACGCGACCAGCAUCUAUUAUUCAGUGGCAGGUCUCCUCUUUCCCUCUCGAUCCUCGAUAAAUUUCCCGACCCGAAAGUAACAUAAAGCUGUGAACCAAAGGUGACGACCUGACUGGAAUUUCAAUGAACGUUCACUUCGUUACUUCUACUCGGCGUCUUCCGAGAGAAACUGAUGCACUUUGACAAGUCAAGGCUACGUGAAGGCCGCGGAUGUUCACGAAUGACAAGCAGACAGAAAAGAGUGUAUUAAAGCCUUCAGAAGUCUGACGACCGGCAGCCAUCACGUAUAGGGGAUCUCUUGACUGAAAGGCUGAGACUCUUAGAAAGUUAAAUUGCUCGCGAGGAAGUACUCCUUCCCGAAAUUCAUAGAAAGAAAUAACGAACCGAGGAAAAGAAAGUUAUAUUUUCUCUUUUUUAAAUUUAGAUAUGAACAUAAAAGAUGAAAAAGUUAUUGCGAAUUAAAUUGUGAUUGAAAAUUCAUUCGCGUAUAUUGCAAUAAUGAAAAAAACAUUGUAUUAAAAUAAAAUGUUGUUUCAUCAA